UACGUAGGGGGCGAGCGUUGUCCGGAUUUAUUGGGCGUAAAGAGCUCGUAGGUGGUUUGGUAAGUCGGAUGUGAAAUCUCCAGGCUCAACCUGGAGGGGUCAUUCGAUACUGCCAUGACUAGAGUUCGGUAGGGGAGUGUGGAAUUCCCGGUGUAGCGGUGAAAUGCGCAGAUAUCAGGAAGAACACCCGUGGCUAAGGCGGCUCUCUAGUACGGUACUGACGCUGAGACGCGAAAGCGUGGGGAGCGAACAGG
rnacentral:rRNA from 1 species